rnacentral:rRNA from 1 species
GACGAACGCUGGCGGCGUGCUUAACACAUGCAAGUCGAACGGAAAGGCCCUGCUUGCAGGGUGCUCGAGUGGCGAACGGGUGAGUAACACGUGGGUGAUCUGCCCCUUACUUUGGGAUAAGCCUGGGAAACUGGGUCUAAUACUGGAUAGGACCAUGCUGUAGGUGGUGUGGUGGAAAGAUUAGUUUCGGUAAGGGAUGAGCUCGCGGCCUAUCAGCUUGUUGGUGGGGUAAUGGCCUACCAAGGCGUCGACGGGUAGCCGGCCUGAGAGGGUGGACGGCCACAUUGGGACUGGGAGACGGCCCAGACGCCUACGGGAGGCAGCAGUGGGGAAUAUUGCACAAUGGGCGCAAGCCUGAUGCAGCGACGCCGCGUGGGGGAUGACGGCCUUCGGGUUGUAAACGCCUUUCAGCCAUGACGAAGCCCUUGUGGUGACGGUAGUGGUAGAAGAAGCACCGGCUAACUACGUG